rnacentral:rRNA from 1 species
UACGGAGGGUGCAAGCGUUAUCCGGAUUCACUGGGUUUAAAGGGUGCGUAGGCGGGCAGGUAAGUCCGUGGUGAAAUCUCUGAGCUUAACUCAGAAACUGCCAUGGAUACUAUUUGUCUUGAAUAUUGUGGAGGUCAGCGGAAUAUGUCAUGUAGCGGUGAAAUGCUUAGAUAUGUCAUAGAACACCAAUUGCGAAGGCAGCUGGCUACACAGUUAUUGACGCUGAGGCACGAAAGCGUGGGGAUCAAACAGG